GAUGAAAAGGACUUUGAAAA
rnacentral:snRNA from 1 species